rnacentral:rRNA from 1 species
AUUGAACGCUGGCGGCAUGCCUUACACAUGCAAGUCGAACGGCAGCACGGGAGCAAUCCUGGUGGCGAGUGGCGAACGGGUGAGUAAUAUAUCGGAACGUGCCCAGUAAUGGGGGGAUAGCCCGGCGAAAGCCGGAUUAAUACCGCAUACGACCUACGGGUGAAAGCGGGGGAUCGCAAGACCUCGCGUUAUUGGAGCGGCCGAUAUCAGAUUAGCUUGUUGGCGGGGUAAAAGCCCACCAAGGCGACGAUCUGUAGCUGGUCUGAGAGGACGACCAGCCACACUGGGACUGAGACACGGCCCAGACUCCUACGGGAGGCAGCAGUGGGGAAUUUUGGACAAUGGGCGCAAGCCUGAUCCAGCCAUGCCGCGUGUGGGAAGAAGG